AGUCUGACCUGCCCAAUGAUAUAAAAUAUUAAAUGGCCGCGAUAUUUUGAUCGUGCAAAGGUAGCAUAAUAAUUAGUUUCUUAAUUGGGAACUGGAAUGAAAGGUCGAACGAGAAAAUAACUGUCUCAAUUUAAUUUUGAUUAGAAUUUUAUUUUUAAGUAAAAAAGCUUAAAUAAGUUUAAAAGACGAGAAGACCCUAUAGAGUUUAAUAUUAAUUUAUUUAUUUUUUAGUUUAAGAAUUUAAGUUUAAAAUUAGUAGAGAAAUAUUUAAUUGGGGUGAUUGAAAAAUUUAAAAAACUUUUUUUUUAUUAAAACAUUUAUUUAUGAUAAAUUGAUCCAUAUAUAAUGAUUAAAAGAUUAAAUUACCUUAGGGAUAACAGCGUAAUUUUUUUUGAGAGUUCAUAUCGAAAAAAUAGAUUGCGACCUCGAUGUUGGAUUAAAAUUAACUUAUGGUGUAGAAGCUAUAAAAGUUAGGUCUGUUCGACCUUUAAAAUUUU
rnacentral:rRNA from 1 species